GAGACGUCCAACCUUUCAUUUGGUGGACCCUUUGGCUUUCUCAAAAUGGAUUCACCGACUCCAACACAAAGUCCCAUAACCCAAACUAAGACGAGCCAUUCUGGUUUAGUCACGCAAUCUUCUGCUUCACAGGCUGAGCUGCACGAAACUCAAACACACCAGCUGGUUACAAAAAGUAAAUUAUACCAAUCCUACCAUGAGCCAACCUCAACCCAGAUUUCUCAAACCAAACACGAGCACCAAGGUCAACAUCUACACCAGAAAACACAUCUGCAGCCUUCAUCAACCAUCUCACAAAUAUCUAAAUCUGAUCCUCAUCAAACAUUUGCUCAAAGUCUUUUUCCAAAGUUCCAUCUUGAGUUGUCGACAAUCCCGCAGUAUCUGCCGUCCACACAACUUCCAACUUCUCCAGUCUCAAAGCCUCAACAAUACCAACUUCACAGUCAACCAAAUUCAACCAUGUCUACACUUCCUCAAUCAUCUCCAACACAACAUCCACUGCUCCACUCACAAUCUCCUCUACCACACACAAAAACGUUUCCGCUCCAACACAGAAAUCAGACUUCCAUCUCAACCAUCCAGCAGACCAAUGAUCCUUCAACUCUGGACCCUGAGAUUCCUGUUGUCCAUCGGGUCAACAUGUCCGGCCAGGUACAGCUAAAUACUAGCCAGUUAGGUGACCCAGUUAAAUCAGCCAAAUCAGGCAAUGACACAGAGCUUACUGAAUCGCUGAAGAGGAACACCUCCCAAUCACCUAUGACCAGCAAUGAUCCCAGAGUAACACAGCAGUCUCCAUCAUGGCUGCCCUUGCUGGAGAAACAUGACAUCCCCAUCGUGGUGGGAGUGGGUGUAUCUCUGGCCUUCAUCUUCAUCACUGUUACAUUCUAUUCAGUAGUCCAGAAGAACGAAGCUGCACCAACAAGCCGAGCAGGUCAGAGAUCCUCAGCAGCAUCAAAUGUCAGCACACCUAUUUCACAUUCUGAUCAUGGUAAACUUCCCACAAAUCCUUAUUCUUCAAGAAAUAGUUUGACAUUUUGGGAAAUAUACUUAUUCUCUUUAAAUAUGAAAAUUGAUACCACUCUCGUGUCUAUUUGUUUAAGGGGAACCUCAUUCACUUAAUAAUACUGCAAAUGUGGAAAAAAAACGUGUAUCAAGUAUUUUGUGGUUGCAGAUAAAUAAAGAAGACUACAAGUUUGAAAAUAAAAGGAAUCUGAGGGUGUGCAGAAAGAAAUAAGUGAGGUCACCAGACCUCUGUGGCCCGCUCCUCACCUGCUUCAGAAUAGAGGCUCUAGACUACAUUAGCCGUUUACUAGCAUAACACUCCAGAACUGUUGGCUGUCCAGUUGCAUUGUUGGUAAUGUAGUUUACAUGUUUCUGUUGUAUCAAUUUUCUUUUCUUUAGUUUGAACUGUUCAUAGUUAGUUCAACAAUGUUAUAUUCGAUGCUUUACUAAAUUGGCG
rnacentral:lncRNA from 1 species